rnacentral:rRNA from 1 species
GUGAGGAAUAUUGCGCAAUGGAGGCAACUCUGACGCAGCCAUGCCGCGUGCAGGAAGAAGGCGCUACGCGUUGUAAACUGCUUUUAACCGGGAAGAAACCCCAGGACGUGUCCUGGGUUGACGGUACCGGAGGAAUAAGCACCGGCUAACUUCGUGCCAGCAGCCGCGGUAAUACGAAGGGUGCAAGCGUUAUCCGGAUUCAUUGGGUUUAAAGGGUGCGUAGGCGGAGCGUUAAGUCAGUGGUGAAAUCCUGCAGCUUAACUGUAGACUUGCCGUUGAUACUGGCGCUCUUGAGUGCGCUUGAAGUGGGCGGAAUGUGCCGUGUAGCGGUGAAAUGCUUAGAUAUGGCACAGAACACCAAUUGCGAAGGCAGCUCACUAAGGCGAUACUGACGCUGAGGCACGAAAGCGUGGGGAUCGAACAGGAUUAGAAACCCUGGUAGUCC